UGCAGUCGAGCGGCAGCGCGGGAGCAAUCCUGGCGGCGAGCGGCGAACGGGUGAGUAAUGCAUCGGAACGUGUCCCGUAAUGGGGGAUAGCCCGGCGAAAGCCGGAUUAAUACCGCAUAUGCUCUACGGAGGAAAGCCGGGGAUCCGCAAGGACCUGGCGUUAUGGGAGCGGCCGAUGUCCGAUUAGCUAGUUGGUGGGGUAAAGGCCUACCAAGGCGACGAUCGGUAGCUGGUCUGAGAGGAUGAUCAGCCACACUGGGACUGAGACACGGCCCAGACUCCUACGGGAGGCAGCAGUGGGGAAUUUUGGACAAUGGGGGCAACCCUGAUCCAGCCAUGCCGCGUGAGUGAAGAAGGCCUUCGGGUUGUAAAGCUCUUUUGGCGGGGAAGAAAGAACUGCCUUGAAUACAGGCGGUUUUUGACGGUACCCGCAGAAUAAGCACCGGCUAACUACGUGCCAGCAGCCGCGGUAAUACGUAGGGUGCAAGCGUUAAUCGGAAUUACUGGGCGUAAAGAGUGCGUAGGCGGUUCGUUAUGUCUGCUGUGAAAGCCCCGGGCUCAACCUGGGAAUGGCAGUGGAAACUGGCGAGCUGGAGUAUGGCAGAGGGGGGUGGAAUUCCGCGUGUAGCAGUGAAAUGCGUAGAGAUGCGGAGGAACACCGAUGGCG
rnacentral:rRNA from 1 species